rnacentral:lncRNA from 1 species
ACUUUUAGAUAUUUAUAAAAUAGCCCUAGGCACACUACCUAGUGGAUUUUGCUAAAAAAAAAGAUUAUAAUUGAAUUUAUCAUUUAAAGGUGUAGUACUUCUAACCUUGAUGGUGAUGAGCCAAUAAAAUGACGCUUCAUUUCACUUAAUAUUUCCUCUUGGUGUGCCCUUAAAGUACCCAACUCAGAAGUUAAUGUUUGUAUAUGUAUCCGCUGAUCCGCUACCUCAGUUUCAACUACAUUUAAACGAGUGCCCUUAAGGCACCCAACUCAUAAGUUAACGUUGUAUCUGCUCAUCUGCUACCUCAGUUUCAGCUACAUUCAAACGUUCUUGUAAACCAUGUUAGGCAAUAGUAACAUCCUCUUUUGCCCUCCUAAGGGCGUCCUCUAAUUCCGUUGUCCUUCUUUUUGUUGUUGUAGUUGUAUUAGGCUUUGGACCAUAGCCUAGUCCUUUAAUAUAUCCCGACCUUGUACCCAGUACAUUAUCAACAAUUUCAUCAAUAGUUAUUGGAUUCUCUUCAGAAAUAGACUGAGCUCUCAAAUCUCUCAUUUUGUUCUACAUAAAAUAUUACAUUAGUUAAGUUAACUAUAAGAUAGAAUGAAUACAUGUGACAUGUUACUAAAAUAUUACUACGUAGUUAGUCUCAGCCUCUAGAAGAUGACCAUCCUUUCUCACUCGAGUAAUGAGUGUUUUUGUAUAACUCAAUCCUAUUUGGCUCUACUCCUUCAUGUUCCUUCACACCCUACACAAUAUGAAAAUAAUAUGAAAUAAUACCAAAAUAUCAUCUUAGUAAUGAAUGUGUAGGGUGAUUGAACCUCAACCACAUUGACAUGAUUAGAUUACAAGCUCAACAAAAAGUAAUGAAUGCAUGUGGAACAAAGCUUUUUACCUAUACCAACUCCUAUCAAGGCAGCCAUUUUUGAUAAGCUCAACAAAAGGUAACAAAUAUAUGUGGAACAAAGCUUUUUUCCUAUACCAACUCCUGUCAAGGCAGCCAUUUUUGAGAGUUUUGUGAGACAAAACAUUGCAGAGUCAGAAAUUGAUGUCACAAACAAUAUUAGACAGCCAACGGAGAGUAUUUAUGGCUUCUCAACUAACAUCAAGAUAGCAUUUUUAUAUGCUGCAUGUCCUUUUAUACAAAAUAAACUCAGAGAAAGGAAACACAUAAAGGCUUUAUAUCAGAAAGCUCAAUAUAUUUUAAGAGCCUUAAAAAUACUACUACUAACAGUUGUUGUAGAAUACAUGAUGCAGACAUAGAACUGAUUUUCUUUGUUAUUAAGGUCCUAGAUGUGAUACUAAUAUUUGACAAUUAAAGUUUAACUAAAGCAUGCUGACAAAGAUUUAAAGAAAAAUAAAGAGAUACGGAAGAAAUAAGUUGCAUAAAAACUUCCACACCUCUCAAUUACCAAUUCACCAUGACUUUGUUCACUAUAAAUAACAUCUCGAACUUAAAAUAACAAAAUAGGCUUCAAUGUUUCACGGCAGACUCCCCUUGAUCUUUGGGGACCCUUUCUCAUAUUCCCAUGGUCCAAACAUUGAUCUAAUGUCGAAUAUGUAACUCCACCAAAGACCCUAAACACACAUCUAACUAUCUAAGCUAUUCUUAAUACAAAAAGAGUUCAAUCAAACAUCCUAAAUGCAGCCUCUCUAGUUCAUUUCAUAUUGUCGACAGCUUAAACGAGACAAAGAAGGAAAAAGAGCAGUGAUUCGAUCUCAGCCUCUCUAGUUAAUUUCAUAUUGUCGACAACUUAAACGAGACAAAGAAGGAAAAAAAGCAGUGAUUCGAUCUUUGUUGACUUUAAUAGAAGCGCAACUUUCUUACAUGGGAAACUGGAGGGCAUGAUAUCUAGAUGACUGUAUAACAUAUACAAAAACUUCUUAUUCUUGACUAAGUUUGGUGUCUGGUUAUGAAAAUAUUUACACACAUGAGGCAAGGUUAGUUUCAGAGAGUCAAGUAUUACACUUUAAGCAGGUUCAUUAUUUUUUAUACAAAUGAUAAGUUUCUCCCAUUUUAGCAAUUAUCAUCAUACAUAUCUGACUUUCUAUUCUAAUGUAGGCAGGGAUCACAGAACUCAAGCAAAAAAAAAAGCAAAUAGAAAGGAAGAGGAAGAACUGACGCAAAAUGCUUUCCGAGUUCGAAAAAAUCAAACAUAAAUAAAAUAAAAAUAACUGCUUUACAUAGAAGAUAUGCCUUCCGUAUGAGAAGAUAUUAGAUAUUAACUAAAUCCAGUGUUGUGAAGAGCGUGAAGCGAGGAAAGCCUUUUUGCUUAAAGCGAGAAGCGAAGUGCUCACUUUUUUGAAGUGAAGCAAAAUUUUUAAAAAAAAUUAAAAGAAAUACUGCAUAGACAACUAAGAAUAAAUGAUAUGAAAAAAUGACAGAAAGUAAUCCAAAAAAUGGCAGUAUAACUAAAACGAAAAAUGGGCAACAUUUCGCUGCAAUUUAUCACUGAAAUGGUGUAAGAAAAUGAAGAAGAAGAAGAGGAGAAUGAGAAAAAGAAGAACUGAAGGGGAAAAAAAAUUGCCAGCAUUUCGCUACUAUUUGGAGAAAGAAGAAGAAGAAGAAGCGCCAGAUGCCUCGCUGAAAUAAAUUUGCCAGCAUUUUGCUACUAUUUGGAGACUGAAGAAGAGGGGGAGGAAGAAAGCACACACCUGGGACCAUUCACUUCCUCGCUUCUCGCUUUUUCAGAGAAAGCGAUUGCUUUUGUGUACCUGAUACGCUUCAGAUCAGAGAAGCGCAAGAUGCCUCGCUUCGCAUCGCUUCCCGCUUUAAGCGGUCGGUUUUAACAACACUGACUAAAUCAGUGGAUACAUUAAUCUUAAAAUAUAAAAGUAUAGUUGAUGGAAUGUCUGAUGAGAAUCAAGUUUUCUACUUCUUUUUCUUAGAAAAUGUACAUUUUAUUGAGUAUCAGCACUAACGUUGGGGCUGCAAAUUAAGAAAUGAGAUUUAACAAGAUUUCAACAUCAUUUACAAGUUUCAGUUUACACCAAAACAUAAUAAUACCUAAUAUUUAACCAAGUUAUAUGUCUAGUUUUAAGUGCUAUGUUAUGUUAUCAAAACACUCAUAAAUUGCAUUAACAUGGAAACAUAUGGUUAAAGAAGUGGUUGAUCCCAGUGCAAAUUUGAGUUCAGAGCCAACACGGCAGAUGAUCCUCACAAGAGGAAACCAGAUAUCAACAAACCAAAAGAAGUUAACCGGUUCACGAAAUGCCAAAUAAGAAAACUAGAAAUCCAAUAACGAGUCACAAACAGAGCAUCGACAACAAUAAAUGGGACAAACAAGCUCUAGAAUACUCAGCAAUUGCAAUAAGAAAACUUGCACAACAGCAACAAGAAACUAACUUGAUUUGAAUUAUGAAUGAAAAAUGACAAUACUUAAAAGUAUGUGCAAGUUCUUUUCUUUUUUUCACAUUUUGAAUAUUGAACAUAUCCCUUGAGAUUUCAGUCUUCACCUACCAAGAAUAGAGAUUGGAAAAGCUACAAAAAAGUAAAAAUAGUGUAUAACUUACUAUUUCAGCACGAGCAACUACAAAAGCUCUUGACUCCAUGAAAUGUUUAGAUUUCAGCUUAGUUCGAUUGACCUUGUUUAUCUCGCAUCGUCUCUACAAAGAAUAUAUAGUUAUAAGUAAAUAAAAUUAUAAUGAAACAAAUAUGAUGCUAAAGCUUAUUAUCAUUUCGCACUAUAAGUUCUCAGAUGUUAGCAUAAAAGUGUUGACAGAAACUAAAGAACCACAUCAAACUCUUCUCAAAGGUUGCAUUUUUCAGAGGCAUUUAAAGGAUCCCUUUUUAUCUUUUUUACUUCAAGUUUCUUUUCUACUUUUAUUUGUAUCUUCUGCCUAGAGGCACUGAAAGGGUCCUUUUUUCGCUUUUUUACUUCCAGUUUAUUUUCUACUCUUAUUUGUAUAUUCUGUAAGGGUCUACUCAUAUCAAUCUAAGCCAUUUCAUUCAUGAAUGAAUGUUGCAGGUACAAAGUAGAGAAAAACAAGUUAGUGAAAAUAUCUUAUGUACAUUUUGCUUGUUCGUAUAUUAAAUAACUUAAAUUACAUUUUUCUUUGAGAAAUCAUGAAUGUGGUUUGCCAGAAAAAGAGAUAACAAGACAAAUAUGAAUAGAAAUGACCAUAUGCUCUGGAUUCGCCCACAUGUCACAGAGCCUAUUCCAAUUUUCCGGGGUCAACUCUGGCACUUCAAUUUUACGAGCCUCUUCUUCGGAGCUUGCACUUUCAAAUAGAUUUUUUAAUUUGUAGCGCCAUUGUAGGCUUCUAUUUUUCAGAAUAUCCUCAUAGCUAUCUUUGGUGUAAUGCUCGUCCAAGUUAAUUUCAAACUU